GACAGAGGUGCCAAGCGUUAGGCGGAAUCACUGGGCUUAAAGCGUGUGUAGGCGGAUUCCUAAGUACCUUGUGAAAUCCCACGGCUCAACCGUGGAACUGCUCGGUAUACUGGGUAUCUUGAGCCACUUAGGGGCGACCGGAACAAAUGGUGGAGCGGUGAAAUGCGUAGAGACCCGGAGGAACACCAGUGGCGAAGGCGGCGUCCUGGCCUGCGACUGACGCUGUGGCGCGAAAGCUAGGGGAGCGAACGGG
rnacentral:rRNA from 1 species